GCACAAGCGGUGGAUGAUGUGGUUUAAUUCGAUGCAACGCGAAAACCUUACCCACCUUUGACAUGUACGGAACUUACCAGAGAUGGUUUGGUGCUCGAAAGAGAGCCGUAACACAGGUGCUGCAUGGCUGUCGUCAGCUCGUGUCGUGAGAUGUUGGGUUAAGUCCCGCAACGAGCGCAACCCUUGUCAUUAGUUGCUACGAAAGGGCACUCUAAUGAGACUGCCGGUGACAAACCGGAGGAAGUGGGGAUGACGUCAAGUCCUCAUGGCCCUUAUAGGUGGGGCUACACACGUCAUACAAUGGCUGGUACAAAGGGUUGCCAACCCGCGAGGGGGAGCCAAUCCCAUAAAGCCAGUCGUAGUCCGGAUCGCAGUCUGCAACUCGACUGCGUGAAGUCGGAAUCGCUAGUAAUCGUGGAUCAGCAUGUCACGGUGAAUACGUUCCCGGGUCUU
rnacentral:rRNA from 1 species